GGUCCGGUAGUUCAGUUGGUUAGAAUGCCAGCCUGUCACGCUGGAGGUCGAGGGUUCGAGUCCCUUCCGGAUCGCCA
rnacentral:tRNA from 4 species